rnacentral:rRNA from 1 species
UACGUAGGGCGCAAGCGUUGUCCGGAAUUAUUGGGCGUAAAGAGCUCGUAGGCGGCUUGUCAAGUCGGGUGUGAAAGCCCGGGGCUUAACCCCGGGUCGGCAUUCGAUACGGGCUAGCUAGAGUGUGGUAGGGGAGAGCGGAAUUCCUGGUGUAGCGGUGAAAUGCGCAGAUAUCAGGAGGAACACCGGUGGCGAAGGCGGGUCGCUGGGCCGUAACUGACGCUGAGGAGCGAAAGCGUGGGGAGCGAACAGG